UAAUCUCUCUUUCUUACAGGAAAACACACAUUGAUAAAUACAUUCUACAAAAGUAAAUAAUAUGUGUUGGGAUCCUGAUGUAGGGGUCACAAGCCUGCUCAUGGUAAUCUCAGACUAAAGCACAGAAGAAAUGCUUCUCCCCAACCGCUGAGAAGGCUUCAUUGUAGACAUGCUCACCAUACCUAACUUGUAUUCUGACCAUUCUGCUUAGUGUGACACCUCAAACAGUUUACGCAUGCUUACUCUCUGCAUCCAAAGAAGCUGACAUUGGAGGAGACCAUUUCCCUGAUUUGAUGUGUUCUCAAGGGAAAAUUUUCGGCAUAGUCAGAAAAUGAAACCGAGCCACAAAAAGAUGAUCUUGGAAGGAGAUACAGAAUAGAUGAACCUUCACUACUCUCCCAGGACUUGGGCAUGAAAUAUGUUUUCUCUUGUGGGAUGAAGAGUAAGACAGGUAUAUGUGACAGCUGUAUGACUGAUUUCUCCCUGGGAAUGCCACAUCGGUGACAGAAGUAUUUUUAAGUAGCUGCAGAGCAAACAUGGAUCCUUCUGUGUUUACAGAGAAAUGUGAUUUAUGAUGACUUUCAGCUCUGAGAGAUACAAUUGUUGUAGCAUCAUGUAUCAGAGUAGGAAUUUAUGGAAACACAAUCAGAGCAACCUUAUCUCCAUUUCAAUGAAAUUUAUAGAUACCUACCUUGAAGGUAAUGUUUUUAUUAAUGCAUCAUAUAUUAAUCCUAAGACAAAUGACUUUUGUAUAAAUUUAAAAUUAUACCUCUAUUUUGGUGUACGAGCUGUUUUAUUUCAUUUCAGUAUAUUUCAAAAAUGGCAUUGCAAUGUAAUUUUAUCAUUUUAUAAGUUCCCCUCUUUCCAAUGCCUCUCAUUUAUCCCUCCUUUUUCUCUUGUCAAUUUAUGAUCGCUCUCUCUCUCUCUCUUGCUCUCUCUCUCUCUCUUUCAUUCUCUUUCUCUCACACACACACAAAGAGAGAAACACAGAGAGAGAGAGGGAGAGAGAGAUAGAAAUGCACUGCUAAAUACGUAAUACAAAAGUAAUGAAUAUGUGCUGGAUAAGAGAAUGAUCCAAAUUUAUUGUAUUAUCCAUUAACGAAAAUCUUAUUUUACUUCCCCAGGCACUGGAACACAGGCGCAGAAGUAGGGCCUGUUGUACCUGAUGCCGUCGCAGGA